GUCGGGAUUAAUGGGGAAAGAGUCGCGUGCAAAAGUUCUCCUUAAAAGAAGGACGGUAAGAGGGAAGAGUAGAUGGAAAACAUGUCGAGGAGAAGCAUAUUACGCAAGAGUAGCCAUUGAUAAGAGCUACGGCCGUAAUUUGGUAUGUGUGGAAUAGGGCCGUUUUGCGUAGUUGAUAAGUUAUACAACGGAUUUACAUGAAGGAAUCACGUGUACGGGAGCAAAUGUCAUUCGCCAACGAGGUUCUUGCUACAUGCAAUCAGCCGACAAGCGACGUUACAGAUGAAGGAA